rnacentral:lncRNA from 1 species
GCCCUUCUCUCCUCGUUCUGGGCUGCCUUCGCCCUCCUUCAAUCAGGGCUCACUGCAGGUUAAAAGAAGGUAGUCAUCAAGAGAAGCAAGCAGAAUGGAAAGGUGUGUGACUUCUAUCAGAGAAUUCGGAGCCCAUUUCAGGUUAUUGCAUCCUCAAGUGAAAGAAAAUGUUGGCUUCUGACUCGUAACUACGUGGACCAACUGCAUCCACAGGCUGUGCCGGUGCUCCUGAAACCAGACCGAGUUCUGUGCUGUGCUGCUGCAUCUCCUCCCACA